GAUGAACGCUGGCGGCGUGCUUAACACAUGCAAGUCGAACGAAGCACUUUAUUUGAUUUCUUCGGAAUGAAGAUUUUGUGACUGAGUGGCGGACGGGUGAGUAACGCGUGGGUAACCUGCCUCAUACAGGGGGAUAACAGUUGGAAACGACUGCUAAUACCGCAUAAGCGCACAGGGUCGCAUGACCUGGUGUGAAAAACUCCGGUGGUAUGAGAUGGACCCGCGUCUGAUUAGCCAGUUGGUGGGGUAACGGCCUACCAAAGCGACGAUCAGUAGCCGACCUGAGAGGGUGACCGGCCACAUUGGGACUGAGACACGGCCCAAACUCCUACGGGAGGCAGCAGUGGGGAAUAUUGCACAAUGGGGGAAACCCUGAUGCAGCGACGCCGCGUGAGCGAAGAAGUAUUUCGGUAUGUAAAGCUCUAUCAGCAGGGAAGAAGAAAUGACGGUACCUGACUAAGAAGCACCGGC
rnacentral:rRNA from 1 species